rnacentral:SRP_RNA from 1 species
GCUGGACAUGGUGAUGCAUGUCUGUAAUCCCAGCUACUUGGGAGGCUGAGGCACGAGAAUCGCUUGAGCCCAUGAGGCUGAGGUUGCAGUGAGCCAAGAUCAUGCCACUGUACUCCAGCCUGGGCAAUAGAGCGAGACUCUGUCUCAA